UUCCUUGUCCGCGGGCGAAGA
rnacentral:piRNA from 1 species